rnacentral:rRNA from 1 species
UUUGAGUGAGUGGCGAACUGGUGAGUAACACGUGGGAAACCUGCCCAGAAGCGGGGGAUAACACCUGGAAACAGAUGCUAAUACCGCAUAACAACUUGGACCGCAUGGUCCGAGCUUGAAAGAUGGCUUCGGCUAUCACUUUUGGAUGGUCCCGCGGCGUAUUAGCUAGAUGGGGGGUAACGGCUCACCAUGGCAAUGAUACGUACCGACCUGAAGGGUAAUCGGCCACAUUGGGACUGAGACACGGCCCAAACUC